AGGAUUCCCCUAGUAACGGCGAGUGAAGCGGGAAGAGCUCAAGCUUAAAAUCUCCGUGCAAGUUUUGCGCGGCGAAUUGUAGUCUAUAGAGGCGUGAUCAGUGUGGGCGCUUGGGGCAAGUUCCUUGGAAGAGGACAGCAUGGAGGGUGAUACUCCCGUUCAUCCCUGAGUUGCUCGUGCGUACGAUCCGUUUUCUUUGAGUCGCGUUGUUUGGGAAUGCAGCGCAAAGUAGGUGGUAAAUUCCAUCUAAAGCUAAAUAUUGGUGCGAGACCGAUAGCGAACAAGUACCGUGAGGGAAAGAUGAAAAGAACUUUGAAAAGAGAGUUAAAGAGUACCUGAAACUGCUGAAAGGGAACCGAAUCGUUUCCAGUGUCUAUAAUCCGUGGUAUAUUUCAUUGGCGAGUGUGUGCGUGCGUGUGCUGUGGCAGCGGCUUUUUUGGCUGCGCUCGGCGUGUGUGCUGUGUGUGCUUGCUGGUGCCCUGUGCUGCGGUGGGACGUCAAGGUCAGUUCGUAUGCUGCGGGAAAUGGCCGCCGAGGAGGUAGGGCUUACGCUUGCGUUUGUCUGUUAUAUCUUGGUGGACGAGUAGUCGCGGUUGGGACUGAGGUGCCUACAACGUGUUUUUGAGUGGGCCUGUGUCUCUGUGUGCGCCGUGUGCGGAUAGCUUGCUAUGCGUGUGUGGUUGUGUGUGGAUUGAUGUGGGUUUUAACUUGUUGCCGUUCGGGACGUUGACGAAAUGGAGCGAUUUGACCCGUCUUGAAACACGGACCAAGGAGUCUAACAUGUGUGCAAGUGUUAGGGUGUGGAAACCCCAGCGCGAAAUGAAAGUGAAGGGCAGCGUAAGUUGUCUGAGGUAGGAAAUGCUGCGGGCUUCGGUCUGCGGUGUGGCACUAUCGACCGAUCAUGAACCUUCGUGGUGAAAGAUUUGAGUUUGAGCACAUAUGUUGGUACCCGAAAGAUGGUGAACUAUGCCUGAGUAGGGUGAAGCCAGGGGAAACUCUGGUGGAAGCUCGUAGCGAUUCUGACGUGCAAAUCGAUCGUCAAACUUGGGUAUAGGGGCGAAAGACUAAUCGAACCAUCUAGUAGCUGGUUCCCUCCGAAAUUUCCCUCAGGAUAGCAGCAACUUAUUUACGAUAGUUUUAUGAGGUAAAGCGAAUGAUUAGAGGAUUCGGGGAAGAAACUUCCUCGACCUAUUCUCAAACUUUAAAUCUGUAAGACCUGCAGGUU
rnacentral:rRNA from 1 species